GGGGAGGUGCCCGAGUGGUUAAAGGGAGCAGACUGUAAAUCUGCCGUGUUACACUACAGAGGUUCGAACCCUCUUCUCCCCA
rnacentral:tRNA from 1 species